AUGCCAUGCAGCCCAACCAACGCAUCGAACUCUCCUGCGCACCGCUACACACUACUUUCCGGCAAUAUUUUGUUGUCGGCUGUCCUAAGCACACAGAGGCUGGCAGGGGGAAGCCAGCAGAGCGAGGCACGCGGUGCUAACGCUGCCAGCUCCAUCCCCCCCGCCCGCACCGCACAGCAGCAGGAGCCGCCGCCGCACCGCCCCGGACCCCUCCGGACGGCGCCCGCGGGCCGCCCCGCCGCUCACCCGAGAGGCUGCAGGCAACUUUCCGGCCGGGCCGGGAUGGGGCGAGGCGAGCACGGCUGCGGGAGGUUACCUGAUGUCCCCGCUCGGCUCCAGGGCAGGGCAGAGUUUCCGCAGCCCGCCGCAUGCCCGAGAGGCUGCCGAACGCCCCGGGACGCAAGUCCUCAUCCAGCUUCCUCGUCCCGGCGGGCGCUGGGCGGGCGCCGCGCUCACAGCCUCGGCGGUGCCGCGGGAAGGGAAGGAGGAGCGGAGGCGGGAGGAGAGGAGGCCGAACAGGGGGCGGGAAGCCGGCUGUCCCCGCCCGCCUUCCCACGCCGCCGGGUGGACGGGCGGCAGCGGGAGAAGCACAGCCGGUGCUCACGGCCUGCCCGCGGACAAGUCCGAGCUCCGAGGGUGCUCGGUCUGCCCGCAGCUCCUUCCUGUGCGGCGGCAGCUCGGCGGGGCCCGGCGCUGCCGGCGCCCCUGGAGGGCGCUCCUGUCCCGCCAGGAGCUGAAGUGUGGGGCUGGGAGCGUGAGGCCGUGAGCUUCGGAGCUGGACUUACUGAUCCUUGGGAGUUACCUGUGGGGGUGCUUCUCAAGCCCAUUAUAACUGCUGAAUAUCCUGUGCAUUCGAAAGAUGGAGAGAUCAGCAUCUUUAGUUUGUUUCUGAGUUUAGCUGUCCUUGAUUUUUCAUCAUCAUGAAGCAAUCAAAAUCAGUAGCAAAUUGUGAAAUAUUUUGUGAAAGAUGCACAAACUGCUACCAGUUUGUAUGUCAUGUAACAGGCUUUUUUUUCUUCCUAGAACUGAAUUUAUCUGAAUUUGAAAUAAUGUUCUGCAAAUUACACUUUCAUGAGUACACUACUGAGUUAAAUCAAAAUUGGUGGAAAAAUAAGUCAUUCUCUUAAAAAUAAAAAUCCUGCUUUAAGUCA
rnacentral:lncRNA from 1 species